ensembl:snRNA U6 U6 spliceosomal RNA
UUGCUUCAGCAGCACGUAUACUAAAAUUGGAACAAUACAGGGAAGAUUAGUGUGCCCCGUGCACAAGGAUGACAUGAAAUUUGUGAAGCAUUUCAUAUUUUC